GGGUGAGUAGCACGUGGAUAACCUACCUAUAAGACUGGGAUAACUUCGGGAAACCGGAGCUAAUACCGGAUAAUAUUUUGAACCGCAUGGUUCAAAAGUGAAAGACGGUCUUGCUGUCACUUAUAGAUGGAUCCGCGCUGCAUUAGCUAGUUGGUAAGGUAACGGCUUACCAAGGCAACGAUGCAUAGCCGACCUGAGAGGGUGAUCGGCCACACUGGAACUGAGACACGGUCCAG
rnacentral:rRNA from 1 species